UCCAAGCUGGGCAUGGUUCCCGUCCCUGUGCCAAGUCUCAUGGGAGAAAAUCACGACAAGGGGGAGCACUGACGCUCGCUGAGCGCAGCUCGUGGGGUGGGGUGGUCACGCCCGGUCCUGGGGUUGACGCUGUGGUUGACCCAUUUACAGAGGACGAAACCGAGGCCUGGGCUGUGUGAGGUCACGGAGCCUGUCGACGGCAGAGGCUGGACUCAGGCCCAGAGAGGAGGCAGUGGACAGGCUGCCUGGAAAGGGAAAGAGAAAAAAAAGGCCAGCUUCUGCCGGGUGGGCCAGAAAUCUCUGCUUCCUCUCAGCCAGGAAACAGGAAGUAAACCGAGGCCCAGAGAGGGCAGAGCCUGGCCUGUGGGGGACCAGCCGCCUCCCUGGCCUGAGAUCCUGUGGUGGCUCCCACUGACCCCAGCGGGGCACCCCCUUCUCCGGAGAGCUCAGAGGCCAGAGACCCCCCCCAUGGCCUCGAGAGAAGGAGACCCUGCUUCCCUCUGCCCCUCACCUCCCUGGCCUGACUCCGCUGACCCUCCAGGCACGGCCCAGCCCCUCGACCACAUCCCCCCCAUCCCGUCCAUCUCCCCACCCAGGGUAAACUGAGGCAGGUUCUCACAGACUCCACUGCCGGCUCUGUGACCUCAGGCCCCUCACUGCACCUCUCCAAGCCACCGCAGCCCAUUCCACCCUCUUGGGGGGAGACCCAGGCCCAGAGGAAGCCUUGUGGGGGGGGGGGCACUGCUGCAAACCAGACAUGAGGCUGCAGUGAGGGGCCCAGGGGCAGGCGGGUGUGUGCUCUCUCUUUCUCUCUCUCCUCUCAUCCUUCUUUCCUUUCUCUUUCAUCCUUCCUUUUCUCUUUCUUCAAAUCACUUUAUUGAGCUGUAAUUCACCUGCCGUACACUAUCACCCAUUUUAAGUGUGGGCAUUCAGUUGUUUCCAGCAGAUUCACAGGCAUGUGCAGUUGUCACCACAGUCUGUUCUAGAACGUUUUCAUCGCCUCAAGGAAGCUGUGUGCCCUCCCUGCCCCCGCCAGCCCCCCAACCUCGAGGCAGCCAGCUGUCCCCGGGCUCCACCUGCCCUGACGUUUCAUGGAAAUGGAUUCGUAUGUCACAUGUCUUUCGGGUCUGCUUAUUUCACUCGGCGUGAUGAUUUCACGGCUCCGCCCCAUGGUUGCAUGUCUCAGAACUUACUGCUUUUUAGGGCCCAAUAAUCCCCGUUAUGUGGCAGAGCACACCCCGUGUGCCCCUUCGCCAGCGUCAGCCCACGGGCCCUCGGCUUAUUCCCACCUCUGACUGUGAACAG